CCUACGGGUGGCAGCAGUGGGGAAUAUUGGACAAUGGGGGCAACCCUGAUCCAGCCAUGCCGCGUGUGUGAAGAAGGCCCUCGGGUUGUAAAGCACUUUCAGUGAGGAAGAACGCCUGGUGGUUAAUACCCAUCAGGAAAGACAUCACUCACAGAAGAAGCGCCGGCUAACUCCGUGCCAGCAGCCGCGGUAAUACGGAGGGUGCGAGCGUUAAUCGGAAUUACUGGGCGUAAAGCGCGCGUAGGUGGCUUGAUAAGCCGGUUGUGAAAGCCCCGGGCUCAACCUGGGAACGGCAUCCGGAACUGUCAAGCUAGAGUGCAGGAGAGGAAGGUAGAAUUCCCGGUGUAGCGGUGAAAUGCGUAGAGAUCGGGAGGAAUACCAGUGGCGAAGGCGGCCUUCUGGACUGACACUGACACUGAGGUGCGAAAGCGUGGGUAGCAAACAGGAUUAGAUACCCGGGUAGUC
rnacentral:rRNA from 1 species